GCUCGCUGCGAAGUAAUUAGGAAUCCAUUACCCAUAGCCAACCACGAGACAGAAUAGAAUUUGGAGAAGGAAAAACGAAGAGAAAAUGCCUAGGUUCGAUCCGUGGCCGGUGUUCUUCAAGCGAGAGUGGAAUCGGAACUGGCCUUUUCUGGUGGGGUUCGCCAUCACGGGAACCAUCAUCACUAAGUUCUCUCUCGGUCUCUCGGAGGAAGACGCGAAGAACUCUGCCUUCGUUCAGAGGCACAAGAGGUGAUUUCUUAAUGCCAGGAGAUGUUCUGGUAUACUCGACUUUAUUUUCUCGUCAGCUGUUGUUUUGACAUGAAUAAUAUUGACGACUUCUGUUGAUUGGUCGCGUGCCUUUGUGCACUUUUGAACUGACUAUUUUUUAAAAUCAAAAUGAAAAUGUUUGAAUGGGUUAAUAUUUCUUUAUUUAUGAUAGCAAUUUCGUUUGGAUCUCCUCGGCCUUUGGUCGGGGUCAAUUAAAGAAUC